GGAAGAGGGAGCAGAGAGCUGAAAAACUGCACAGUUACAGCACAGAGGGUUUUACUGAGCGUGACACAACCCUGAGAAGGACACUCAUCCAUGUAAAUAAUAUGGCAUCCAUCAACAAACACAAACAGGUCAGUGGAAACAAGGAGAAGAUGGAUGGCGCCGACAAAACGAGAGUAUCUUAACACCGUUCUGCUUCUUAAGACUUGAUCGGACCCUCCCAUCUCACAUAGGAUGUCCUCAACAAGCACAUCAUGCAGAUCUGUGGCUGACAAACAGUGAAUUACGAGGCUUCAGGGAGUAUGACAGUGCCAGAGUGGAAGAGAAAGACGGAAGAUAUUCAA